GAUGAACGCUGGCGGCGUGCCUAAUACAUGCCAGUCGAGCGAACAGACGAGGAGCUUGCUCCUCUGACGUUAGCGGCGGACGGGUGAGUAACACGUGGAUAACCUACCUAUAAGACUGGGAUAACUUCGGGAAACCGGAGCUAAUACCGGAUAAUAUAUUGAACCGCAUGGUUCAAUAGUGAAAUACGGUUUUGCUGUCACUUAUAGAUGGAUCCGCGCCGCAUUAGCUAGUUGGUAAGGUAACGGCUUACCAAGGCAACGAUGCGUAGCCGACCUGAGAGGGUGGUCGGCCACACUGGAAGUGAGACACGGUCCAGACACCUACGGUAGGCCGCAGUAGGGAAUCUUCCGCAAUGGGCGAAAGCCUGACGGAGCAACGCCGCGUGAGUGAUGAAGGUCUUCGGAUCGUAAAACUCUGUUAUUAGGGAAGAACAAAUGUGUAAGUAACUAUGCACGUAUUGACGGUACCUAAUCAGAAAGCCACGGCUAACUACGUG
rnacentral:rRNA from 1 species